GGCUCUGGAGAAGCCCUGCAGCCGGCAGGGGGCCGAAGGUGCAAUGGAUUUUGAAGGUAUCCAGAAACUCUCAGGCAAAAGGACAGAGGAA
rnacentral:ncRNA from 1 species